CAGACUUGUGCUCUUCCGAUCUGGCACAUCUCAGGCUGACUGUGCUGUCCUGAUUGUUGAUGCUGGUGUUGGUGAAUUUGAAGCAGGUCUCUCCAAGAAUGGACAGCCACCAACUUGUUCACCAACUUGUCCAAGUGACAAGUCCUUGCCCCUCUAUGAUGUCUCCAAAAGUGGUGGUAUUACUACUGUCCCUGUGGCCCUA